rnacentral:lncRNA from 13 species
CUUUUAAAUAGAUAAUUUGGGAUUCAGAAAUAAUUUCCAACCCAAGACAAAAAAAGUUCAGAAUUUAUGAAGCAAUCAUUUUCAACUGUAGUGGGCAUUACUAAUAUUUACUGACAUGUCUCUCAAUUUUCUUUGACUAUACACAAAAUCUAAUUAACCAGAUACUUAUAUUUUUCAUAGGAGUAGUCCUUGUCACUAAACAUGAUUGACAGCGCUAUUGUAUCCCUCAGAAACAAAGAACUACAGAGUUCCUGAGACAUCUAACUUGGCCUUUGAAUCAAUUCAAGAAUAUGAAACCAACACUUUGGCCCAAUAAAAAUUGCAUAAAUCUGUUUUCCCCAUAGCAUGUUAAAUGGAACACAACAGAAUAUUAAUUAAUCUCACCUCAAGACUUCACAUUCCAGUAGAAAGCAAUGGCAAAAACAAGUCUCCCGUGUCUCACUAGGAUGGCUGAAUCACAAUUCCUCAAUCUCAUUUUCAAACAAAAAAUUAAAGUUAUAAGUUCUGUUGAAAAUAUGUCUACCUUCAGUUUUGCCAUUCUGCUUGUUUUAAGCAAGAGAUUGAAUGUUGGAUAAGGUCGUGGGUACUUUCUUCAGCAGUUUCAACUUGGACCAUUUUCUAAUAUAAUUAACGUAUGUGCAUCUAUCGUUUCAAUAAAGGGAUUACCUCACUUCA